rfam:Acetobacterium bakii strain DSM 8239 contig_23, whole genome shotgun sequence.
GGCGGCUAGUUUAGCUUAUUAUAGUCACAAGAAAUACUUUUACAAAAGGAACGCGGUGUAAAUCCGCGACAGUUUCUUUGCUACUGUAAGGAGAAUAUGGACGCAUUCAGUCAUUGGGUUAACCGAGAAGACUGGGUACAGAACGCCUCUCCAAGUCAGGAUAUUUUUGUAAGGGUAAUAUUUAUU